AGAGGCGAACGCUGGCGGCGUGCUUAACACAUUCAAGUCGAACGCGCAGCAUUCUGUAGCAAUACAGGGUGUGGGCGCGUGGCGAACGGGUGCGUAACACGUGGAUAACCUUCCUUGAGGUGGGGAAUAACCCAGUGAAAAUUGGGCUAAUACCGCAUAACAUCGCGAUGGCACAUGCUGAUGCGAUCAAAGGCGCAAGUCGCCACAAGAGGGAUCCGCGGCCGAUUAGCUAGUUGGCGGGGUAAUGGCCCACCAAGGCGAUGAUCGGUA
rnacentral:rRNA from 1 species